UUUUUUUUUUUUUUUUCUAUUUUUUUUUUUUAAAUUCUGAAGCCAGACCGUCUUUCCUCACAGCUCCACGGCUGCAUCUCCGUGGGCACGCAAGCUUCCCCUGGUUACCUGAGCUGCUCCUGCCGUCUCCCGCCUGGGCUUCGCCGUGGUGCACCCGAUCCCGGAAUCGUGCGUCUGCGCCCUGCGAAAGAAGGACCUGCUGGCGGAGCUCCGGCCGGGGUCUCCUGCCUCGCAGCUGGGCGAGGGGACUUGGAGGACAGGGUGAAGCUGCAGAAGACCUGGGGUGGGAUGGCUAGAGAGGACGCCAAGGACUGGGGAAGGGGAAGUUAGGAAUACCUUACAUCCAAUGCCCACCCGUGCUCCGCAGGGCAAGGGCAGCCGUCGCCUCGGCCGCGUGCACCCAGCUCAGGCUGUUCCCAGGGAUUUAGUCUGGGGGGACAACCCAUGGCGAGAUGUGGUGGCAUUUUACCUCAGAGUGGAGCUGAAGAUGGAUAAACAAGGUAUCUGAUGUAUCUGCCUGAGAAGGCAGAGCUGGAGAAAGGCGGAGCGAGGGAGCGCGUGAAAAGAAAGAGAUGCCGAAUGCCGGGUGAUUGUCUGCCGCUUGCUGUGCAUUCUCAUUCUAGGGAGGAUGGCAUAAUUUAUAACCCAGCACAUGGAUAGAGGAACUGUAAAUUGUAGUCUGGAUGUCCCCGGCGCUGUCGACGAAGGAACUGAUGGGCUAGGCUCACAGGCAGAAGGAAUUUUCCUUGUCUUGGAUGAGACUUUUGACUUGGACUUUUGGGUUAAGUUCUGGAGACCAGAAGGCCAAAAUCAAAAGUAUGGGCAGGCUUGAUUUCUUUAGAAGACUCCAGCGGAGAACUGUGUCUCCUUGCUUCUGGUGGGUAUUGGCAAUCCUUGGAGUUCCUUGGCUUGUAGGCACAUCGCUUCAAUCUCUGCUUCUGCUUUCACGUGGGGCUCCUCCCUGUAUGUGUCUGUGUUGCCUCCUUUUCUGACUCUCAUAAGAACACUUGUUAUUGGAUAUAGAGCCCUCCCUAAUCCAGGAUGGUCUCAUCUUGAGAUCUUUAUCUUGGUUAUGUCUACAAAGACCCUUAUUCCAAAUAAAGUCACAUUUUGAGA
rnacentral:lncRNA from 1 species